rnacentral:rRNA from 1 species
UACGAAGGGGGCUAGCGUUGCUCGGAAUCACUGGGCGUAAAGGGUGCGUAGGCGGGUCUUUAAGUCAGGGGUGAAAUCCUGGAGCUCAACUCCAGAACUGCCUUUGAUACUGAAGAUCUUGAGUUCGGGAGAGGUGAGUGGAACUGCGAGUGUAGAGGUGAAAUGCGUAGAUAUUGGGAGGAACACCAGUGGCGAAGGCGGCUUACUGGACCGGUUCUGACGCUGAGGCGCGAAAGCGUGGGGAGCAAACGGG